AACGAACGCUGGCGGCAUGCCUAACACAUGCAAGUCGAACGAGACCUUCGGGUCUAGUGGCGCACGGGUGCGUAACGCGUGGGAACCUGCCCUUAGGUUCGGCAUAACUCCCCGAAAGGGGUGCUAAUACCGGAUAAUGUCUUCGGACCAAAGAUUUAUCGCCUUUGGAUGGGCCCGCGUUGGAUUAGCUAGUUGGUAGGGUAAAAGCCUACCAAGGCGACGAUCCAUAGCUGGUCUGAGAGGAUGAUCAGCCACACUGGGGCUGAGACACGGCCCAGACUCCUACGGGAGGCAGCAGUGGGGAAUAUUGGACAAUGGGCGAAAGCCUGAUCCAGCAAUGCCGCGUGAGUGAUGAAGGCCUUAGGGUUGUAAAGCUCUUUUACCCGGGAUGAUAAUGACAGUACCGGGAGAAUAAGCUCCGGCUAACUCCGUG
rnacentral:rRNA from 1 species